UACGGAGGGUGCAAGCGUUAUCCGGAUUCACUGGGUUUAAAGGGUGCGUAGGUGGGCUGGUAAGUCAGUGGUGAAAUCUCCGGGCUUAACUCGGAAACUGCCGUUGAUACUAUCAGUCUUGAAUGUUGUGGAGGUAAGCGGAAUAUGUCAUGUAGCGGUGAAAUGCUUAGAUAUGACAUAGAACACCGAUAGCGAAGGCAGCUUGCUACACAAUGAUUGACGCUGAGGCACGAAAGCGUGGGGAUCAAACAGG
rnacentral:rRNA from 1 species